GUUAAAUUAUCGGCAGCACAUAUAUUAAAACUGGAAUGAUACAGAGAUUAGCAUGGCCCCUACGCAAGGAUGACAAGCAAAAUCGUGAAGCAAUUAAAUUUAAA